rnacentral:tRNA from 1 species
AAAGUUUUAAGUUAAAUAAACUAUUAACCUUCAAAGUUAAAAAUAUGUUAUUACAUAAGCUUUA